rnacentral:lncRNA from 1 species
ACCACAAUAUACAGCUACUACUCAGCAAAUGGAACAGAGGGGGAGAGAUCAGCAAACAAUAAACCAGAAAUCCCAGCAAAUUGGAUACAGGCUGUGGAAGAACUCAAAACACAACUAAGAGAGGCUGAAGACAAUUGGGAAAAGAACUUAAAAAUUAAGAUGUCAUCUGGAAACAGAGGCACUUGAACUAAAAUAAGAAAAUAGUGUCUUGAAAGCCAAAAUCAACCAGCUGGAAAAUGAGGCAAAGGAGGUGAAAGAUGAGGCAAAGGAAAUGAAAGAUGAGGUAAAGAGGAUGAAAGACGAUCUACAAAGAAAAUCAGACCAGAAGGAUAAAGACGACCGAAAAGCCAGAGAUGAAAUCCAAUCUUUAAGAACCAGAAUACAACAACUAGAAUCAAGUGACCUCACAAGGCAGCAGGACACUAUGAAACAAAACAAAAAGAAUGAAAAAUUGAGGAAAAUGUGAAGCAUCUCAUUCACAAAACAGAUGAUCUAGAAAAUUGUUCAAGAAGAAACAAUUUAAGAAUAAUUGGACUACCAGAAGACCACAACAAAAGAAAAAGCCUGGACAUAAUACUAGAAGAAAUUAUCCAGGAAAACUGUCCCGAGAUCCUAGAAUAAGAGGGGAAAGUGGAGAUUGAAAGAAUCAACAGAUCACCCCCUGUAUUUAAUCCCCAACUGACAACACCAAGAAAUGUUAUAGCCAAAUUCAAAAACAAUCAGAUGAAAGAAAAGAUAUUACAAGCUGCCAAGAAGAAGCCAUUCAGAUACCAUGGAAACAUGGUGAAGUUAACACAGGAUCUAGCUGCAUCCACACUGAAGGACCGAAAGGUAUGGAAUACAAUAUUCCAGAAAGCAAGGGAACUAGGUCUACAACCAAGAAUAAAAUACCCAUCAAAACUGACUAUAUUCUUACAGGGGAAAGUAUGGUCAUUCAAAACAACAGAAGAGUUCCAAGCAUUCAUAAAGAAAAGACCAGACCUGAACAGAAAAUUUGAUGUCCAAGAACAGAACUCAAGAGAAUCAUCAAAAGAGAUAAGCUUGGGCAAAGGGAUUCUAUAGAAGGAAGAAGUCUUUAGAAACUGCUCCUCGCCCUAAAAGAAUAAGAAGGGGAAAAGAUUCUUCAGGAUCAAGAACUGGAAGACAUGGUGCAUAGCCUAGAGAAGAAUGGGAGGAAGACCACAUGGCAGUAGCAAAAACAAGUUACAAUUAUUUCUAAUUUAAUAAUUCAAUUUAUUCAAAAUUCAAAUGAACCUCAAAAUCUUGACUUUAAUUGUUUUCAGCAUCACUAACACCUCCACUAGAGGGCAGGCAAGGGCAUGUAGAGAAAACUGAAACAUUCUUAUGAAUGUUUGGUAGGGCAGAAUUUUUCAGACUUUGUUUAUUUUUUUAUUAUUUUUAAUAAUUUGUUUAUUAUUUGUUUAUUAUUAAUUUUGUUUGUUUAUUUUGUUUGUUUAUUAUUAAUUCCCUGUAUGGAACAAGAAGAUACUGA